rnacentral:rRNA from 1 species
AGAGCGGGAGCCCGGAGAUGGGCACUGAGACAAGGGCCCAGGCCCUACGGGGCGCAGCAGUCGCGAAAACUUUGCAAUAAGCGAAAGCUUGACAGGGCUAUCCCGAGUGCCAUCCGCUGAGGAAGGCUUUUACCCAGUCUAGAACGCUGGGGGAAUAAGGAGAGGGCAAGUCUGGUGUCAGCCGCCGCGGUAAUACCAGCUCUCCGAGUGGUGUGGAUGUUUAUUGGGCCUAAAGCAUCCGUAGCUGGCUAGGUUAGUCCCUUGUUAAAUCCACCGAAUUAAUCGUUGGAUUGCGGGGGAUACUGCUUGGCUAGGGGACGAGAGAGGCAGACGGUAUUUUCGGGGUAGGGGUGAAAUCCUAUAAUCCCGGGAAGACCACCAGUGGCGAAGGCUGUCUGCU